rnacentral:lncRNA from 1 species
UCAUAACCAACUUGUGGGUUAAUGGAUAAUCUAAUCGGAAUAGGAUUUCGAUUAGGAUUACGUUAGGGUUUUCUCAUUAUAAAUAUAUGUCAUAUGACAUAUUAAAAUUAACGAAAAAAUUAAGCAAAAAGAAAAUGAAAAACCUAGCCGUCAAUCCUUUUUCUUUCUUAAGUCCUCCACAAUAAAUCCAUUGAUUUUGAUCUUCAAAAGUUGCUAGCACAUCUA